GGAAGGGUGGCUGAGUGGUUUAAGGCACCUGACUCGAAAUCAGGCGUAGGAGCAAUCCUAUCGGGGGUUCGAAUCCCUCCCCUUCCGCCA
rnacentral:tRNA from 1 species